GAAAGAACCCCCGGAUAGGAGCGCAGUUCCGACCCGGGAGAGAGAGAACCGAGAGACCCCCGUGAACUCCCAAGGCGACCCGGCGAGUGGGGAAGCCAGAGCCCAGCAGGACCUGUGGUUCUCCCCUUAUCUGGGGCCUGUUCCUGCUGACACGGGUCGGGUCGCAGCCUCCUGCUUUGCACCGUCACCGAGGCUCCGGCUCCGGCUCCGGGUCUCCCUGCUCCACAGUGGGCCUGUGCGCUCAGCUCGCCAGUGUUUCUGCAUUUGUUGA
rnacentral:lncRNA from 1 species